AAAAGGUAAGAACGUGCUUCAAAUGAAAAAAGAAAAAGUGCGCCUCCUACCCUUCACAAAAACCCUAAAUAAGUAGAGGGAGCACAAGGUGAUAGUCACAAGUGAGUGAGAGAGAGAGAGAGAGAGAGAUGGAAGAGGGAGACGACUACAAGUUUCUGUAAAUAAAGAGGGCCGUUUCUUCUAUUAACUAGCAAAAGGCAAUCUAAUCGGCGUCGUUCACGUGUUCGGGCCGGACUUACGGCUGCUACCAGAAAACUAAUUAAUUUUUCGUGGUUGGUAGUAGAUUGAUGAACUUCUUUUAUAAAGUGAAAAUAGUUGAUGAAUCGUAUCCGAAACCUGGAAUUCGGCUGAAUAUUUUCUUGGAAAGUGUGGGAAAUCUGCCUAUUGUUGGGUCACCUGGAGAUAUAAUUAAGCUUUCUCCUGCCGUGAUUAAAACUCACAAUGAUGGUGUCUAUUCUCUUUUUAAUAAAAAGUUCACUUCUUUUCUUUAUAUGAAGAUAAAAAUGGUGAUGACUUAGUAACUUAUCAAUAUUCUUCAGUAUUUCGCCCAAGGGACUACAACUUGAAGUUUAUAGCAGGCCUGAGAAAGCUUAUACCAGGCUUCUGGAUUAAGCAGUUCAACAGCUAAACAGCUACUGGUUUAUAUGCUGGCAUUGUUUAAUGCAUUGUGCAUGUAUUCUCAUCAAUGUAGAUUAGGAUUCCCUAGGAUUCUAACACUGUACUGAGCUGUAUGUACAUGUAAAUGGCUAGGUAUAUUUACUAUCAUUGCGUAACUUGACUAGGGUUUGUAGUGCUGGGUGGAGCUCCUCCGACUCUGAGCCAGUAAAAUGUUUUGUUUUUUGGCAUAAACUACUCACCAAAAUCAGCACCUACCUUCAUCCUCAUGAAAAUGUUGCAUUUUUUAUCAUUUAUUUUUCUUC